AAGUGUUCGGAUCGCGGCGACGUGGGCGGUUCGCUGCCCGCGACGNCGCGAGAAGUCCAUUGAACCUUAUCAUUUAGAGGAAGGAGAAGUCGUAACAAGGUUUCCGUAGGUGAACCUGCGGAAGGAUCAU
rnacentral:rRNA from 1 species